rnacentral:rRNA from 1 species
UACGGGGGGGGGUAAGCGUUGUUCGGAAUUACUGGGCGUAAAGGGCUCGUAGGCGGCCAACUAAGUCAUACGUGAAAUCCCUCAGCUUAACUGGGGAACUGCGUGUGAUACUGGAUGGCUUGGAUUUGGGAGAGGGAUGCGGAAUUCCAGGUGUAGCGGUGAAAUGCGUAGAUAUCGUAAGGAAGACCAGUGGCGAAGGCGGGUCUCUGGACAGUUCCUGACGCUGAGGCACGAAGGUCAGGGGAGCAAACGGG